CAGAGCAAAAACACAGACAGACUUAUUACUGUGUUUCUAUCUAUCAUGUUGUUCCAUUACCUCCUAUACAGCAGUUCAUUUAUUCCUGCCCUCUAUACUUACCCUUGCAUUGUUUCAAUUUCUAAUUGACUAUAAUAUACAUUUAGUCAAGCUCCUGUAGAUAUUCUAAUUAGAUCUCAAUACUGUGCUUCAAAAAUUGUGCAUGGAAUUUUAUGGAAAUUGAAAAAUGCAAAUGCUGAGAUUCCAAUAUGAAUCCUUACAGACUGUGGCCAUGCUUUUAGCCAAACUCCUCAUUGAAAGAAGAAAUAAUGUCUUUCUUCCAAUCCCAGUAUAGAAAGAAAAGGAUUGCUCAUAACCCAUGAAGAUCGUCCAUAGCAGACUAACAUCCCAAGUACAGUAUGUCAGAACCUUCCUAUAUCACAUCAGACGAGACAUCAGAGGAGAAAGACCAGAGUGCUUAGCUGUCAGGAAGUCUACAGUGACUGAAAUAACUGCUCUUUACAAACAUGUGCCGGAUCCUGACUCAACCCCCAUGCAAAGACUCCUGAUGCUCUACUCCUGCUGUCGUCAUGCUUCAUCAUCUGGAGCUUUCAGCACUUGUGAUUUACCGCCUGCUGCUGUGGGGAUUCUCAGCUGGAGAUCCAAGAAACCCUCCUGCACCACCUGCAAAUAAAGGGUCAUGCUAAAAAACCGGUAUAAUAUCUGUUGCUGUAAUCAUACUGUACUCCUCUCCUCUUCUCUAUAUAAAACCUUCAGGAGUUUUAUCUUUCCACUGACUUGCUCAUUAGGGAUCCAGAUUUCUGUGAAUCUGUUCUUAAUGAGCUUUGUCUGUGGUCUAUAUUAAAAGUUAUUACACAUUUUAAUUGAUUUACUCUGGUAGUGUGUUGGAGCCCUUUUUCUUUUACAGGUGCUGGCAAUGUGGAAGCACUGUUCAUGUUUAUGUUAUAAAAUAGCGUUCUCAAGAGUGAUAUCAUGGAAACUACAAUUAAAUAAUUGUUAUAUUUUUAUUCCU